GAUGAACGCUGGCGGCGUGCCUAAUACAUGCAAGUCGAGCGAACGGACGAGAAGCUUGCUUCUCUGAUGUUAGCGGCGGACGGGUGAGUAACACGUGGAUAACCUACCUAUAAGACUGGGAUAACUUCGGGAAACCGUAGCUAAUACCGGAUAAUAUUUUGAACCGCAUGGUUCAAAAGUGAAAGACGGUCUUGCUGUCACUUAUCGAUGGAUCCGCGCUGCAUUAGCUAGUUGGUAAGGUAACGGCUUACCAAGGCAACGAUGCAUAGCCGACCUGUGAGGGUGAUCGGCCACACUGGAACUGAGACACGGUCCAGACUCCUACGGGAGGCAGCAGUAGGGAAUCUUACGCAAUGGGCGAAAGCAUGACGGAGCAACGCCGCGUGAGUGAUGAAGGUCUUCGGAUCGUAAAACUCUGUUAUUAGGGAAGAACAUAUGUGUAAGUAACUGUGCACAUCUUGACGGUACCUAAUCAGAAAGCCACGGCUAACUACGUG
rnacentral:rRNA from 1 species